rnacentral:lncRNA from 1 species
AAUUAGAUAAAAAUAGUAUAGACGUUUUUUUAAAGGAUAUAUAUAUAUAUAUAUAUAUAUAUAUANCUAAAUACAAACAAAAUCUGCUUAUAAUUGAAAUUGAAAACAGGUACACGAGAAGUAUCGAGUGUUUAUUGUAUAUUUUCUUAUAAAUAGAGCAUAGAAGUAUCGAGUGUUUAUUGUAUAUUUUCUUGAGUGUGGCUCAAAAUAUAGAAUCAUAUGGGUUUAAAAUAUCCUUGAACCAUACAUUUACACAAGGAGUGACUUACACACGUCAUGAUCUUAGGUUUUUGACAUCAAUCUUUGGGACAAUCAGAAUCUUUAAAACAUCUACGCAUCCGUGCUAUAAAUAGAAAAGAAAAGAAAAAAGAAAAUUGGAUGGAAUAUUGUAUAUAAGGUGAAGAGAAAAUUUUAGAAGAUAAAAAUAACUUACCUUCAACAUAUCAGAUAAUUAUAAAAUAAACAAACUUGAUAAUUUGAGCCAUAAUUUUUCUCUUUCAUGUAACAAAAGGUUUUAUCACUUCAUUAUUUAUAAAGCUUUUUCUCUUCUUACAAAAAUCGAAUAUGUAUUAGCGCUUAUCUUAUCGAGUGGUAAAAACCACUUCCAUAAAGAUUAAUCAUAACUAAAUGUCUUUUAAAUAUAUCAAUGAGUUGUAUUUAUCUCUUUAAUAUAUUUAUU